AUCCGAUGUACUUUAUUAAGAUCACAUGUGGAAUGAGUUACAUUAUAAUAUUAUAUGCACAUAAUUAACAUGCACUUUGAUUAAGAGCUAUGAUUGAAGGACAUUACUUUAAUAAAUAAUACAAAUCUCCAUUGGCUGCAAAAAUCUAUAGGAGAUAUUUUAAAAAAACAAAACAAAACUAUAUACUACUUCACUAUAAGAAUAAUGGCAAGAUAUUUUAAUAUAUUUUAAUACAAAGCAAUUUCAAAUAGAACUGGCAUGACUUGUGCAGACAUGAGAACUGUGACUAAUUAAAGCAUAAUGAUCAUGCCUUUAAAAAG